rnacentral:rRNA from 1 species
GGCUCAGAACGAACGCUGGCGGCGCGUUUAAGCAUGCAAGUCGAGCGGCAAGGGCCUUCGGGCCCCUAGAGCGGCGGACGGGUGAGUAACACGUGGACAAUCUGCCCCCCGGCCCGGGAUAGCCCAGGGAAACCUGGAUUAAUACCGGAUGAGACGGGACCCGCGAUGGCGGGACCCGGGAAAGGCGCUGCGGCGCCGCCGGGGGAUGAGUCUGCGUCCCAUUAGCUAGACGGCGGGGUAACGGCCCACCGUGGCGACGAUGGGUAGCCGGCCUGAGAGGGUGGACGGCCACAUUGGAACUGAGACACGGUCCAGACUCCUACGGGAGGCAGCAGCUAAGAAUCUUCCGCAAUGGGCGAAAGCCUGACGGAAGCGACGCCGCGUGAACGAAGAAGGCCGUGAGGUUGUAAAGUUCUUUUCGGGAGGGGGAACAACCGUGGCAGGGAAUGGCCGCGGGAUGACGUGAAUCCCGGAAUAAGCCCCGGCUAACUACGUGCCAGCCGCCGC